rnacentral:rRNA from 1 species
AGAGUUUGAUCAUGGCUCAGGAUGAACGCUAGCGACAGGCCUAACACAUGCAAGUCGAGGGGCAUCGGGACGUAGCAAUACGUUGCCGGCGACCGGCGGAUGGGUGAGUAACGCGUAUGCAACCUACCCGUAGCAGGGGGAUAGCCCGUUGAAAGACGGAUUAAUACCCCGUAACACAGGGGCUCCGCAUGGAGAUUAUUGUUAAAGGGUCAUUUCUUUUUCAGGGAUGGUCCGGCUGCGGAUGGGCAUGCGUUCCAUUAGGUAGUUGGUGUAGGUAACGGCUCACCAAGCCGACGAUGGAUAGGGGAACUGAGAGGUUGGUCCCCCACACUGGUACUGAGACACGGACCAGACUCCUACGGGAGGCAGCAGUGAGGAAUCUUGGUCAAUGGACGCAAGUCUGAACCAGCCAUGUCGCGUGAAGGAGGACGGCCCUAAGGGUUGUAAACUUCUUUUGCAGUGGAAUAAAGUUUGCCACGUGUUGGCGAUUUGCAAGUACGCUGCGAAUAAGGAUCGGCUAACUCCGUGCCAGCAGCCGCGGUAAUACGGAGGAUCCAGGCGUCAUCCGGAUUUAUUGGGUUUAAAGGGUGCGCAGGCGGGGAAUUAGGUCGGCGGUGAAAUUUCGGGGCUCAACCUCGACAGUGCCGUUGAAACCGUUUCUCUUGAGUGCGGAUGAGGUAGGCGGAAUUUGUGGUGUAGCGGUGAAAUGCGUAGAUAUCACAAGGAACACCGAUUGCGGAGGCAGCUUACUAAACCGUUACUGACGCUCAUGCACGAAGGCGUGGGGAUCAAACAGGAUUAGAUACCCUGUAGUCCACGCAGUAAACGAUGAUUACUUGCUGUUUGCGAUACACUGUAAGCGGCGUAGCGAAAGCGUUAAGUAAUCCACCUGGGGAGUACGUUCGCAAGA